rnacentral:rRNA from 1 species
ACUCAAAGGAAUAGACGGGGGCCCGCACAAGCGGUGGAGCAUGUUGUUUAAUACGUCACUAACCGUAGAACCUUACCAGGUCUUGACAUCUGUGGAACCCGGCGGAAACGUUGGGGUGCCUUUCGGGGAGCCACAAGACAGGUGUUGCAUGGCUGUCGUCAGCUCGUGUCGUGAGAUGUUGGGUUAAGUCCCGCAACGAGCGCAACCCUCAUCCAGUGUUGCUACCAGGUAAAGCUGGGCACUCUCUGGAAACUGCCCGUGCAAGCGGGAGGAAGGUGGGGAUGACGUCAAGUCAGCAUGGCCCUUACGACCUGGGCUACAAACAUGCUACAAUGGCACGUACAAAGGGCUGCAAGCUGGCGACAGUGAGCCAAUCCCAAAAAGCGUGUCUCAGUUCGGAUCGGAGUCUGCAACUCGACUCCGUGAAGUCGGAAUCGCUAGUAACCGCAGGUCAGCUAUACUGCGGUGAAUACGUUCCCGGGCCUUGUACACACCGCCCGU